rnacentral:rRNA from 1 species
GCGGGGCAACCUGGCGACGAGUGGCGAACGGGUGAGUAACGCAUCGGAACGUGCCCAGUAGUGGGGGAUAGCCCGGCGAAAGCCGGAUUAAUACCGCAUACGACCUAAGGGUGAAAGCGGGGGAUCGCAAGACCUCGCGCUAUUGGAGCGGCCGAUGUCAGAUUAGGUAGUUGGUGGGGUAAAGGCCUACCAAGCCGACGAUCUGUAGCUGGUCUGAGAGGACGACCAGCCACACUGGGACUGAGACACGGCCCAGACUCCUACGGGAGGCAGCAGUGGGGAAUUUUGGACAAUGGGCGCAAGCCUGAUCCAGCCAUGCCGCGUGCGGGAAGAAGGCCUUCGGGUUGUAAACCGCUUUUGUCAGGGAAGAAAAGGCUCGAACUAAUACUUUGGGCUCAUGACGGUACCUGAAGAAUAAGCACCGGCUAACUACGUGCCAGCAGCCGCGGUAAUACGUAGGGUGCAAGCGUUAAUCGGAAUUACUGGGCGUAAAGCGUGCGCAGGCGGUCUUGUAAGACAGAGGUGAAAUCCCCGGGCUCAACCUGGGAACUGCCUUUGUGACUGCAAGGCUUGAGUACGGUAGAGGGGGAUGGAAUUCCGCGUGUAGCAGUGAAAUGCGUAGAUAUGCGGAGGAACACCGAUGGCGAAGGCAA